ACUGCGAGUGAAGCGGGAAAAGCUCAAAUUUGAAAUCUGGCAGUCUUUUUUUUCUUCUUUGGCUGUCCGAGUUGUAAUCUAGAGAAGUGCUUACCUGCGCUGGACCAUGUAUAAGUCUCCUGGAAUGGAGCGUCACAGAGGGUGAGAAUCCCGUCUUUGACAUGGACUGCCAGUGUGUUGUGGUGCGCUCUCAAAGAGUCGAGUUGUUUGGGAAUGCAGCUCUAAAUGGGUGGUAAACUCCAUCUAAAGCUAAAUAUUGGCGAGAGACCGAUAGCGAACAAGUACCGUGAGGGAAAGAUGAAAAGGACUUUGGAAAGAGAGUUAAACAGUAUGUGAAAUUGUUGAAAGGGAAACGCUUGAAGUCAGUUGUGUCGGCUAGGGAUCAACCUAGCUGUUUU
rnacentral:rRNA from 1 species